AAAAGCAAAAAGAAGAAAGAACCCAAAUUAAUUCAUCAAAUCCAAAAUAUCAAACACAAGGAAUUUUUUGAUAAAUUUAAACUUGCUUUUAUUAUUCUCUUACAUCGAUUUAUCUUACAAGGAUCCAAUAUGUAUUCAUUUGAUGCUGAUAAAUAUUUAUAUUUUCAGAUUCACUAUACGUCAAGAAAAGCAUUAAGAUUCAAAUAUUGUCUUAUUAAAUAUCUUUAAUAAUUUCGGUAAAAGGUAUUGCAAAGCUAAAAUUGACAAUUUAUUAAAAGUGUUCUUGUCAUCAGUGACAUCAACAUCAGUGAUUAAUCGAAAUUAAUCGUGCCUUCGUUGCAGAUGAGAUUAUACUCGUAGAUGAAUGUUCUCAACGAGGACAGUGGGUCGACAAUCUGUAAACGUUUCUCAACUUUGCCGUGACUACAUAUGAAGUGUACAAAUACCAAUAUUAUUGUGUCUUAGCCGCAUUUCGUCCUCAAUUUCACUUAAGUACACAAUAUUAAUGCUUAUGCAAAGGCUGAAUACUUUUUAUACUCGCAGAAUAUUAUGAUUAGAUUAUUUAAUGUAGUAGAAUAGAGUAUCUUUUACAUGUUAUGAAUGUUAUGUUCUGUUUGUUAUGUUAUGUUUUGAAUGUUAUAUAAUAUUUAUGUAUUAUUUGAGGUCCAAAGAUUUAAUGCUGAAUGUUAAUUAAGUUUUAUAUCACAAUUAGUCAGUUCAUAGAAAAUGAAUCCAUCCAAGGAUAUAUUAAGCAAUAUGAACAGUAUUAUCAAAAUAGAAAAAUUACAGAAACGUUAUAAUACAUUUAAUACAGAAUUAAAAUAUGCUGAUAUUGUAAUAAAUAUACGUACAUACAUAUUUAUAACUUUUUCUUAAUAAUUUUUUUUCAUUACAAUAGUAAUAUGAAACAUCCGCACAUAUCUACAAUAAUUCUUCUCUUUCUUCUUUUUAUUAAAAAUAUCAAUUUCCAUAACUGAAAAUAAAUAAUAUCUUUAUUUUCAGAUUAACUUUAAAGUCUGCAUGAACACUUGGAUACCCAUAUGUUUCACCACUGAUAUGUUCCCAUCGUAACACCCCAUAAUGAUUUGGGGACUGGAGAAUCCUCCAAUUAUGAUGACACGGAUCUAAUGGAAACUGAUUACGUUACGUGGACAGGACAACGUGACUUUUUUUUUCUUAAUCCAACAUUAAUCGUUGCUCGUUGAAGUAACCGUUCAAAUAAAUUGACCCGCAGGAAUUCCGGUCGCUUUAACGAGCGAGUUAGGGGGUAGAUCAAUUAAACGUUAUGAAACGAUGCCGUUUCUUUGCCAGGCAUGUAUCCGUCGUGUCCAUGGCAAGGAUUUACCUUGAGUUUCUUUCUUUGCCAGACAUUCAUGACCAAAGCAUUUUAUUUCUUUUUUUCUCCUUGACAUAUUGAUCAAACGUUCUACUUUGUCUGUUGCGUUGUAAUUUAUCCGGUAAGGAUAUAAGACUAUCAAUAUUUAAAUGUCGUAUCAUCUUUAAACUGUCACAUAACUCCGAUAACGCAAAAUUAAUUUCCAUUCAUGAUUGCGUUUUUAUUUAUACUAAUUAAAACCAAUUGUUACAUUUAUCAAUAUUUAUUAACUGUAUACAGUUGCCUGGGAUAAGAUUAGAAGCAAAAAUUGGAUUAAAGAGCUUCAUUUAAAGUACCAAAACAUACCCAAGUACUUACUCAUCUAUCAAUAAGAAAGAUUGCAGUUCAGUUCAAGAUGUUUAUUGAGAGAUUGAAAGAUUGAGAAAUUAUUUUUAGAGUAGCAAGAUACUACAAGAUAAAUGACAAUUGAAAGUAUUAAUAAAUAUGACUACGUGCGUUUGCAUCUCCAUCAACAAUCAUCUUUCUAAGCUGGCAAGACAAUCAGACCAGAGAAGGUCCAUGAAUCAAUCCUUGUGUACGUCAAAUUGAUCUAGUCCCCUUUGUAUUUUUGUAUAAUUUACUUUGUAAUUUAAAUAAUGUAAUAUUCAUAUAUAUCAUAACAAAAUACAGAACUUCUUUUGCCACGUA